rnacentral:lncRNA from 15 species
UUACACUGGACAUUGUUUGGAACUUUCUCCAGGUUGCUUUUGCUGAUUAGUUUAACACAAUAAGACAAUUUUCUUCACUCUGUUCUAUCUUAGGGACUGCUACCACCUGGGCGUCCAGAUCAACUUUGACUAUCAUCGCUUCUUAAAGUUUGCCAGGGUGUGUGAGGUUGACGGCUGGAAGCACAUCUGUGUUAGAGACAAGGUAAAGACAAUGUUACUCCUACUCUUGUAUCAGAUUGUAAACAGAUUUGUUCCGACUAAACUAUAGGCAAUACUCUCAACAGGAGGAGGAUAAUAUGACUGAAAUGUUCCACACCAGGCUCUGUCUCCACAGAAGAGCCUACCAGCACAAAGUGACCAAGAUCAUAGAGACUAUGAUCACAGAUGCCUUUUUAAAAGCAGACAAGCACAUCAAGAUUGAAGGCACAGGAAAGGAAGACGUUUCAGACUCUCCACAGCCAUUGAUGACAUGGAAGCCUACACUAAGCUGACAGAUGCUGUGUUUGAAAAAAUACUCAACUGUGCAUUUGACGCACCCCAGGAGCUGAGGGAUGCAAGAGACAUUCUACGCAGGAUCAUUAAUCGAGACCUCUACAGGUUUCUGGGUGAAACGCGGUUUGAGGAUCCCACUGAGGUUUGUACUAAUGUCUUUGUGGGCCUUUAUUGCAUUACACUGUCUGUCAUAUCAUCUAUUUCUCUGUUAUGAUGAAGCUCCUUUUGUGUGCA